UCGACCUCAGAUCAGGUAGGGAUACCCGCUGAAC
rnacentral:rRNA from 1 species